UACAGAGACUGCAAGCGUUAUUCGGAUUCACUGGGCGUAAAGGGUGCGACAGGCGGCCAAGUGCGUGAGGCGUGAAAGCCGUGGAGCUUAAACUCCAGAAUUGCACCUCAAACUACAUGGCUAGAGCAUUGGAGAGGGUAGCAGAAUUCAUGGUGUAGCAGUGAAAUGCGUAGAUAUCAUGAGGAAUACCAGAGGCGAAGGCGGCUACCUGGACAAUUGCUGACGCUCAGGCACGAAAGCGUGGGGAGCAAAAGGG
rnacentral:rRNA from 1 species